GUAAGGGGAGCGGCAGACGGGAGAGUAACACGCGGGAACGUACCCUUCAGUUCGGAACAACCCAGGGAAACUUGGGCUAAUACCGGAUACGUCCGUAAGGAGAAAGAUUUAUCGCUGAAGGAUCGGCCCGCGUCUGAUUAGCUAGUUGGUGAGGUAACGGCUCACCAAGGCGACGAUCAGUAGCUGGUCUGAGAGGAUGAUCAGCCUCACUGGGACUGAGACACGGCCCAGACUCCUACGGGAGGCAGCAGUGGGGAAUAUUGGACAAUGGGCGCAAGCCUGAUCCAGCCAUGCCGCGUGGAUGAUGAAGGCCCUAGGG
rnacentral:rRNA from 1 species